UAGGGAAUUUUUCACAAUGAGCGAAAGCUUGAUGGAGCAAUGCCGCGUGAACGAUGAAGGUCUUUAAGAUUGUAAAGUUCUCUUAUUUGGGAAGAAUGACUUUAGCAGGUAAUGGCUAGAGUUUGACUGUACCAUUUUGAAUAAGUGACGACUAACUAUGUGCCAGCAGUCGCGGUAAUACAUAGGUCGCAAGCGUUAUCCGGAUUUAUUGGGCGUAAAGCAAGCGCAGGCGGAUUGAAAAGUCUGGUGUUAAAGGCAGCUGCUUAACAGUUGUAUGCAUUGGAAACUAUUAAUCUAGAGUGUGGUAGGGAGUUUUGGAAUUUCAUGUGGAGCGGUGAAAUGCGUAGAUAUAUGAAGGAACACCAGUGGCGAAGGCGAAAACUUAGGCCAUUACUGACGCUUAGGCUUGAAAGUGUGGGGAGCAAAUAGGAUUAGAUACCCUAGUAGUCCACACCGUAAACGAUAGAUACUAGCUGUCGGGGCGAUCCCCUCGGUAGUGAAGUUAACACAUUAAGUAUCUCGCCUGGGUAGUACAUUCGCAAGAAUG
rnacentral:rRNA from 1 species